GGCACAUUCUGAGUUUCGUAAUAUUACACCAAUGCAUUUGUUUAGUAUAGCAUUCUGUUUCACAAAACUGCAUUGAAGUCAAUGGGAAUUUCAUUCCCACCAUUUUUUUAUGUGUCCUCAGAGUGAGCCCAUACAUAUGUUUGUCAAUUUUGGUGAAAAUAUCUCAAUUCACUUCAGAGUUAUAGACAUUUAUAUGAAAAA